UCUGCAAUAUUUUAAUACCUCUGUCGAAUUGAUCCUCCAGAUAUUUUCUUCUCUCUCCUCCCUUCUUCCACUUUCUUCUACCAAAUUUAUUCAUUCACAAAUGCCACAGCGUCCAGAAUGAGGCCAUUCCUUGUUGUUUGUGUGUUCAACUAGCUCUCUUCUUGGGCACGACGUCGACGACAGAAUUCUCGAUUCUCAAUUUGCAGGGCAACUUUGGGAUGAGAGAACUUGCAUUAAAACUGCCAUUGCUCCGUUUGUAUAUUGUAUAGAUGUCCCAAAAGAGAAUUUACCCAAGCUGCAUGACGCUUGUUGAUGUUACACUCUUCUGUGUUUGUGGCUGGCUUAGCUGGAGACUGAUUGGUGCAUGUACAUCAUAUCCUUUGCUGAUUGCAUGUGUGGCCUGAACACCCCCAUUUGGUUCACUUCCACAUCCUUGCUCAGAAACCUGGCAUAGGUUAUCCUCCUCGGAUGGUCAAGGCCUCAAGGGUGUUUUUUUCCAACCGGAAUGACUGCUUCAGGAAUCAUUGCAAGAUUUUCCUAAUGUCCUUGCUUGCCUCCAGCCUUAGAAAACCAUGAAUCCAUAUUCCAUGGUAUGUUUUGAUUAAUCAUGCCCUUGGUCAUUGACAUAUAUGAUUUGGAUUUAAUGGAGCACCUGAACUUUUACUUUCUUGUCAUUUGAAAUUUCUGAUAAUACUUAUACCCUCACUGCCUUCUUCCCAGUUGGAUACCUUUUUUGCUAUCCUCAUUGACAUGUCGGUAAGUCAAGGAUGGUUACCUGAGAUGUCCGUCAGCUCUGGUGAGGGAUCGGUCGUAGAUAUAAACAUGCAACACUGGAGAGACCUCUUUCGGCAAAGAAUUAUACCACAAAGCCCCAACAAGGUGCUACCACUUAUAGGAGUCUUCUUUGCUAGUAGAAUGCCUCCAUGAGAAGAAAGAAUAGUGUGAUGCUCACGCUCUCGUUGGACGUGACCGUCAGUUACAGUGGGUAAACUAACGAAGGGAAUAGAUGCUAACUUGAGAGCACAAAAGUAGGAUUUAGCACCAGUGAAGGAUUUGGUCAUAUUUGAGAUGCAAUACCAGGAAUAGAUGCUAGUUUGAGACAGAAGACCAGGACACUCAGGUUCAGGUUAUUUAUUAGAUAUGUUAGGUUCCAUUUGUUGAAUUAUCACAUGAAUUUGCUCCAUGAACUAUGCUCCCUAGAUGGGGAAGACUAUUUAUCUUUAUAAUUUAAUUACGGUAUCCAUGGAUAGGAAUUCAAACUUAGGUUUUCCAUCUAAUUUAAUCUAUAAAUAGUUGCGAUGUUGAGCAAAUUGUCAUAAUGUGUCACGUAGGACCUUUGGUAGGGUUUUCAAUCGCUAAACUUGUGUAGACAUUUCAUCCAACUGAGUUUUUAUAUUUUGUGUUUGUGGAAUGACUUCCUUUUUGAAAAUUUUAUAUUACUUACCUCUGAGAGUAGAUCCUAUAUCGAUUUAGGUGGGGUUGAGACAUCCUCCAUCCUCUCCUCUGAUAUAGGGAUCUGCAAUUUUAAAGCAUUCUCUGUUAGACAAACGAACUAUCCUCUAAUGGAAUUUGUUAAAAUAGUGUCUCAUCUGGACCUUCAACCUAGCAUUGCAGAUGUCUUUUUGGGAUUUCACUUCAUUUCUGCAAAUGCAAAUUAAAGAGGCAUUAGAUCCCAGUUUCAGAGCAGAAUGGAUAUAUAGGAACAUAUAGCCGGCCUCAACUGAUUUUGGAUUAUGGUUUAGUUGAUUAAUUAGAUCAUGGAUUCUGCUUAUGCAGAGAUAAACAAACUCUAAACUCCGGCUUAUCAUGUCAAGACCAUCGUAUUCCUUCUGCUUGUUAGCCUAAUUAUCUCAUCUGCAGGCAGAUUCCCCUAGGUUAUAUUCUCUUGUCAGUGCACAUGGUGGAGUGGAAUUAAACUGUAACGGGUGAGCAUUACUAGUUUUGUCGCCACCUUAUUCUCCGGUGACCUCCCUUAUUUCAGGCAUCAUGACUGUUUGAUGGCUGACUUUUGGUCUCAAAACUAGUGCAACAUAAACUGGGAAAAAGAACCGGUAUCAGUUUGUUCCUGCACUAUUUGUCUGGGAUAAACUAUUCCAAUUUCCAACAUGCAUCUGUUUGAUCUGAUAUGGUAUUUCUUGUGGUUUGGCUUUCUGCUUAUAUAGAACUUGUUGGAACAACAAAUGCUGCAUCAGCCAGAAUCUAUAACUGUCUCUGGAGAUGAUGACCUGAUUCAAAUAUGAUAAGUGGUAUAUUAUGUAGAUGGAUAAUAAGUAUCUAUCAUGCUGGAUAACUCUUAAGAUGAUAGUAUUUACCACUUGAUUAAGAGUUGAUACUUAUUGCUUCCUUUCACUUAUGGGACUAUGCUUACUAUUGGGAAGGAGGGUAGGAAAAACUUCCUGAAACAGGUUCAAACCUGCUAUUUUGUAAUGCAGACAAUACAGGAACCAGAGUGUAGUGGAGGCUUUAAGGGAAUUCUCUACACAGCUCAUGGAUUUUUCAGGUUAGUAGUGGAAACAUGGAGGUAACUAUGGAUCACUCAACUUUGAGAAGAGACCUUGUUAGUUAUUUUAGGUUGGGUUUCUGUUUUCAGUAUCUUAUAGAUGAUUAUAGAUGACUUACUGUAUUUGUUUAGGUUCCAUCAAAGUAGUUCACUAGUAUGACAUAUAAUAGCGUAGGUGUUGCAAUUCAAGAAUCGAUCCUUGGAUUUGAUAAAGUAAAACUUGUUUGGAACUCUGAAUGAGCGUGUAGUUAGGUUACAAUAGGCCACAAUUACGAAUUAAUUGGCACCGGAACAAACCCUAACAGAAGUCCCAAUUUGUGCUAAUAAAGCUUUAACCCUAAUAGAGGAAGGCAGCACCUUUUGGGAUCAAAGCACGAUUCCAAAAUCCUUUUCAAAAUAAGCUUACCAUUUAACUUUCUUUACAUCGUCAUGAGAUACAGCAUUUGACACAAAAUUCUCUUCAUGCUUAUAGAAAUCUUAUAGAGUAACUGAGUGGCAGUGUUAGCAUAUGAGCCUGUAGGAUUUGAUUCCACUUGAUCGAACUGCUCCAAGGAAAGAACAGGAAUCAAGUAUUUGACUGGAGUUAAUCCCAAGGUUUAUCGAGCUUCCUAGAUUAAGGAACAGGGAGAGGGAUUAUAGCGCGAGGGAAUGAUACUAGAGGCCUUUCAACACAAACACCUCCAACAGGGACUCCAUCCCCCUUUAUGUUUACUAAACCAUCUCAUCAACAUCAAUUGACAACACAUCAUAGAUAGAACUAAUGAGUCAGAUAUAUUUGCAUUGGAAGAAGGUUAACAGUCAAUGGUAACUAUCGAUGCUUGAAGUGACCAAUUAGGAGGAAGCAGGUUGUUGUCUCGAGCAAGCAUAAGAACCGAACAUGAAGUAGGGGGAGAAGGAAAAAAGGGACAACAAGAUAGGCAUCUAUUCAGGGAAUCAGCCAACAAUUAAUAAGCAGGAAUAAGAGGGCAAAGGAGAAUAACAAGAAGAUAGCAGAACCAUGGAAGAAGAUACAUGAGAGGAUGUACAAGAAGAGUAUGGAAGUGGAAAAAGAUAAAAGAGUACCAACCAACACAUGGAAGUUUCCAGAAGUGUAGCAUUGCACCACAAGAAUGUGUGAAGUCUUAUAAUGGGUAGCUUUUUUUAAUAAAAAAAAAAGUUGAUGAAAUUCCCCAGCAGGCAGAGAGGAAAAAUGAAGCAGUAAAGGCAGCAAAAACAACCAGAACAUCAACAAAGUGAGGAUUAUUCCCCCUCCUCACCCAGUCACUAAGUAAGUUGAAUCUCUCUCAUAACCAUGUUGAGAAGAUACCUACCAGAAGUUACCAUGGAGUCAGUUAACGAAUCUGACAUAUACCAACCAAAACCUGGUGGGUGGAUUGUCCCAGUUCAGGUGUUCCAUUGGUAUUUCCUAGCCAUCCUUGGCGCCAGAGGAAGAACACUGACCACGCUAACAUAGCUAAAAGUUUGAAUGGGGCAAGAUGCCCAGAAAGAGCAGCCACUUCAGAUGAAUGCCUACUGUUACUGAAUUCUUAAUGCAUACACGAAAUUCACAUAGGUGGAUCCUGCGGUCUUGAAACUUUUUGCAAGACUUCCGUGAGCCAUGAUAAAGACGGGGUGAACUCGAGAAUAAAGGAAUGGGAAAAGGCUGAUAACAUAAUAUGGAGUUAGUUUGGGCCAAAGGAUGACCUUGAUCAUCAUGAAAACUUUUUUGACCCUCCCUAAACUCCACUGUGAGCCUUCAACUGAGCUUGCUUGAAAAAACCUGCUUAAAAACCUUUUGUUGUUCUUGAAGAAUUUGUAUUUGCUUUAAUCUAGUCGCACCUUGACCAUGUGUGAAGAUCAAGAGCUAUUAUUCACAUCUGUUCUCUCUCCAUAGCAAUCUAUUUUUGGGAGUUAGUCAACUCUCCAUUAAUUUGCAUUUUUAAAUUUUUGUAUUUUUACAAUUCCAAGCCUUUUAUACAAUUCCUACCUCAAAAGGGAAAUGAAGCUACA